rnacentral:lncRNA from 1 species
AUUCCUGCGGCUCCCUCGGUUCUCUGCCCUGUUGACAGAGGAGGCAGACUCUGGAUCUGACCGGCCGACCCGAGGGCACCCCACUCCACGUCUCAGAUUUCCCGUUCGUUCCCCUAGUCCCUAGUACCCUUAAUACCGCGGACUCAUGGGGCAACCUCCAGCCUCGGUAUCCAGGGGGUGUGGCAGUCCUGGGAUGUUGGGGCAAGAGGAAGAAGGGCGUUGCUCCCGGAGUUUCAAGGAAGAGAAACAGAUGGGAAGGAGUCGGGAGAGAAACCGAGGUGGAAGCCGAAGAGUGUGGAAUGGACCUGGCUUCUCUUCUGGUUCCAGGGGCUCCUGGGAUCGCGCUCCUCCUUCUCCCCAGCCCUCACCAUCCGGCAGCCUCUUCUGCCUCUGUUCCGCCGCCCUCUGGCUUCACUAUGGAACCCCCUGCGGCCCCUGGCCCCCUAUCUCUCCCCUCUGGGGCCCCUCUAUCCCUCCUCGGCUCCCCAGUCGACACCUUCGCCCCGCCCUGCAGUUCUCUCCACUUCUCACAUUUCUCCUCCUGCCCCCUCUCUCUACCCUCCUCUGUCCCAUGACUAUGAAUUUCACAGAGAAGCCUGUUUAUUUAGGUGACACCAAGUGGGAGACACACGAAACCGUUUCCCUAGCAUGGUUUGCCAAGUGGUGCAUAGGUCCCUACCCAGGAUCCGAACUGGCGAACCCGGGCCCGCAGAAGCAGAACGUGCGAACUUAACCACUACGCCAUCAGUUGGCCCCAGCAGUUGUGUCUUAACAAGCCCUCCUGGUGAUUUCUGAUAUGCCCUAGGCUGAAAACCACUGCCCGAGAUGUUCCGUGACAUAUUAGCUCCCUUCUUCAUAGGGUGAAUGGCUUCUGAGACCCCAAACCGGAACAGACCAUGUGUCUGAAUGCAGAAGCUGAGCCCCAGAGCCCAGGGCCCCAGGAGCCUGAGAGAAAGUGCCCUAAGGAGACCCCUGCCAGGUGAGGCCUAUCUCUGAGGGCUCUGUCCUUGCCUGGCGGCCCUCAAAACCUGGCUAACUGCUCACAGGCAAGUUGUGCCCUGGGUUUCCCCCACCAACUCCACACUUCACCCUGGGGGGAAGGGAAGGGUCACCAAAGUCCCUAACCCCUCCUUCAGGUGGGGGGCCUGUGCUCUCCCACCUCUGUCUCUUCAGCCUCCCCCUCCUCCUUGCUGAUCUCACCUGAGUCUCCCCUCCCCCGACAGGCAGGCGGGGAGCAAAGGAAGAGGAGAAGGCAGGACAGAUCUCCAGCUCCCUAUCUUCUGUGGGACCCUUUGACCCCUCAGCUGUCACAACUGACCUUUUCCAACUUCUCCUACCAGAGGCCCCACCCCCCACCAUGAAGCCCCUUUCCAGCCUGGAAUGUGAACUCCCCUUUCCGUGCCCCAAAUGUGGGAAGCGCUUCAGCCAGGGGGCCCAGCCUGACCCUGUACCUACACUCCCACACAGGUGACAGGCCCUGCUCCUGCAGCCGGUGUGGCCACAGCUCCUACCUGCCCCAGCCCCCGACACACAUGCCCACCAGUGUAGCAAGGGCUUCUCCCCAGAGCUCUGGCCGGCUGCAGCACACCACUGUUCACACAGGCACAUGGCCCUACGUCUGUGUCACCUGUGGAUGGGGUUCAGGAGCCACCCAGCCUCGUCUAUCGUGAGAAGACUCACUUAGUGAGCACAGCUUCCCCUGCCCCGAGUGUGGCAAGCACUUCACCCAGAGUGUCCGCUGAGCCCAGCACCUACGGACGGAUGCUCACAGGGGAGAAGCCCUACCUGUGCGGCUAGUGUGGCCAUGGCUUCAGCCAGCACCCCUGGCUCGUGGCCCACCAGUGGGUCCACCACUUGGUUCCUCUGCUGUCCCUGCCGGCCCACACCUGCUAGGUGUGCUCUUCCCUCGGGUGCGGGCAGUAGCCUGCUGCCACACAGUGCAGCACAUGAGAAGCCCUUCUUCUGCCCCCAGUAUCCCGAGGGCUCUGGCUACUCCAACCUGCAACACCACCAGCAGGACCACGGGGGGAGCGGCCCCACCACUGUGACCAGUGCAGCAAGGGCUUCAGACAGAGCUCAGGGCUGUGUGGCACCAGGGAGUCCACAGGGGCAAGACUGCGAGUGCAGUUUCCGGUCCAGCUCCGGCCUGGCGCAGCACCUGCAGGGCCGCUCUGGGGACAGGCCCUUCUGCUCUGGCGGCUGUGGCUUCACUCAGAGUCCCCAUCGACCUUGACAACAGGCCAGGGCUGGUGAGGAGCACAGGGAUGAACAUGGAGGGGGGGGACAUCUGGAGGCCAAGUCAAGGCCCCUGUGGGGAGCCAGCCCCCCAACUCCACAGCACUCUAGGAGGGUAGAGGGGCAGUUGGAAUGACUGCCUCUUCUGUGGGAGGCAUAAUGGAGCACAGCUUCCACCACACCCCAGCCAGAGCAACUUUCAGAGCAACCACAUUGGGUGGCCAGAGUGUCUCUGCUGGACCUACUCAAAGCUGGAAUGGCCAGGUCCACCUCACUUCUAGUCCAACGUGCCAGUUCCCCAGAGAGCUCCCGGCCUGGGAAAGAGCUCUCCCUGUUUCUUAGAAAGGACUCUGUACUUCUGAUCUUCUGUCCUCCGUCUGAGACAUUUAACCAGGAUGUCUGGGUCCUGCUGCCUCAUGGAUGGAUCCGAUUCCCUGGGAUUUUUUUGAAGGGAUCAUUUCAAAGAGAUAACUGAAUCCCCAUAGAUCUCCAUGACAACGCCCACCAUCAAAUCCUAGUCCCCCACUAACCCCUCCAACCCUCUCAUUUCCCCCGAGGCUUCUGGAUGCUUCUUGCCUCUGGUGCUAAAGCUACACCCAGCACACCUGUCUGAUGCUGCCAUCUCCCUAUGCCUACUCCUGGCCUUGCUAGGCCCUGUUUCAGGACCCCAGGGCUUCCUAAAACCUUCAUUGCACUUCAGUCUAGGAAUAAAGCCCAGAUGGAGGCUGCUCUUUCCAGCUGUACAGAGGCCUCCUAUUGAAAGGUGCAAAAGGGCAGAGGCAGGUGUCCAAGGAGAGGGCAGGGAUGUGGAGGAGAUGGAGACCGGAGGAAAAGCCAAAGGAGUUUGGAGGAGAAAGUGGGAGGUUCUGGAAUGUGGAGAAAAGACAGCAGGGCUGUGUGAGACAAGACCCACAAGAAACAUCUCAGAAAAACUUAGAAACAAAUGUCUUCAGGUACGAACAUCCCCGGGGAACCACUCAUUUCUUCUUCAGUUGACAAGUUUCCCCCAGUGUUGUGAAGGCACUGAGUUGCCAACACAAGCACUUCAUGUCCUGCCAUUUGCACUUUUUCCACAAAAUUGCUUGCUAACUGUCUUCUUCGUGUGUUGGCAAACUGAUUUUGAACAAAGAGUCAGGAGGGAGUCCCACAGCAGAGUCCCUUCCAGACUGGUGCCCCUGGCCCAGCCUGGCACUGAGGAGAGCGCUGUCAUCAUUCACCCUUUUAGAAGGUUCUGCUGGGGGAGUCACUCCCUGGCAACACUCACAGCAAGUUUAUGGUUACUGUUCAUGUUAAAGGAUAAGGUAGACCUCAGCUCUUGUAUUAACUUCCCCCAAAGUAUACUCUUUAGAACUGGGCAGAGUCCUCCCUAGGAGGUAUCAGAGGCUGAUUACUGACACACACACGAAGGAAUUAAAGAACUGGAGGGAUAAAAGGGUCACUGAGAGACUGCUAAUCAGUUUCACCCUUUCAGGAAAUAUGUAUUGAGUCCACCACGUGUCAGGGACUGUUCUGGGACCUGGGUAUUACAAACAGGCAUAUGAUGCAGCCCCCGCCUUCCACCGAUUUGAUCUAGGCGUGUUCAGCAUCUCAAUAUUGAACCCAGCAUCUAGUCCUAUCAAUUGUAUCCACUAUACUCUCUCAAGUAUGUCGUCUCUUUCCCACCCCUCCACCUCCCUUGUCCAGCUACCACCUGGACCAUCUGGUUCUCCUCUGAAUCAUCGUGAUGGCUGGAGAGGCUGGGAAUGGCGUUCUCUGUGAGCAGCACACCUGAGUAACAGAGGCCUCUUUGAAAUGUAAAUCUGAUUGUUUCAGGCACCCUGCUGAAGCCCAUUCAAUGGUUUCCCAUUGAUCUCAGGUUAAAGACCCCAGUCCUUAACCUGGCCUUUAAAGCUCUGCGAGGUGUGGCCGUGUCGGCCUCUCCAGCCUCAUCUCCCACCACUCACUCCUCUCUCCCUCGCGCAGAGCGCUCCACUUCCUGUCGGUGUCCCGCUUCCUCCCGCAGAGAGCGGCGGCCAGGCUGGGCCCUCCUCCUGAGAGGUGCUUUCUUCCAUUUCUCUCUUAGCUCCUCAUUCUUCGGAUCUCAGCUCCUUUACCACAUCCUUAGGGAAGGUACCCUAUCCUUUCCUUCAGGGUCCAAUUCCCUCCUCUGGGCUCCCACACCAAGGUGCACCUUUCUUGGAGGCACUUGGCACAGUUCAGUUCCAUAUUUGUUGGUGAUUAUUUGAUUGAUGUCUGUCUCCCCACAGACUGUAAGCUCCCUGAGGGUGGGCACCACGACUGCAGAGGCUCACUCUUGCUAUUCCCUGGAAACUCCAUAAAUAUUGAAAUAUUGGUUGAAUGGGUGCACAUGCGCCAGGAUCUGCGGCAGAGGCUAGAUAUUUCAGGAUUUCAGAGAGGGUGGAUUGAGGCCGUAAUUUCCCUCCAGCGGCUGCCGCCCAAGAGUCCCAUAUGCCAUUUCCUUAGCACCAUUCCUUUCUCCAUGUUUCCUGGUGUCAUCCAUCUUCCCAGCUCCACCUCUCCGGCACCCUCCUCACCUCCACCUUGCCUAGGAGAACCUUUCUCCCUUUAGUUUUUUAGUGCCCCUUCCUGGUCUUGGCUCCUUGGCUUCAGAAGCCAGCAUGGAAUAAUGAGGCAAUAGCACAGGAUUCAGAAACAAAAUAUCUGGAUUCAAUAACAAGGUUAAAAGUAUUAGCGGUGUGACCUUCAGCAGGCUAUUAAACCACUCGGAACCCUAGCUUACAUAAAAUGGGAACAACUUCGAAAUCAAGCAAGUUGGAGGAAUUAGAAAAUCUAAAAGCACCGUCAUCUAGAAAUACUGGAUAAAAUAUGAAAAAAAUUAAACAUAUGACUGAAUUCUCAAAAGGAAAGUAAAAUUCCAGGUGCCAGAAACAAAGAGGAAACUGAAAGCUGGAGGCUGAGCUGACUGUGGCCACGGUGACCAGAAGGCGGCUGGAGGGAAUGGGUUCUGUUAACUCAGGGCUUGAGUGCUUCCAGCCACCCGGGGACAGGAGACGAGGUCUUGGUCCUGAAGAGGUGGGGAAAUUAGAUGAAAGGAGCCAAAGCUGACUCAAGAAGAAAUUAAAAACCUGAACAGAUCUAUAAAUUCUAAUAAAUUAAAUGAGAAGCUAAAAAUGUACACGCACACAGCACCUAGAUGGUUCCUAGGUAUAUUAUUCUGCCAACUCUUAAAGGAACUAUUUAUUUAUUUAUUUAAACUACACCAGAUAACGGUAAAAGAGGAAAAUCUCACUUAUAAGACUAAAAGUCCUAAAUAAAAUAGUAGCAAACUGAAUCCAGUAAAGUUUGUGCAAGUGUGUGUAUAUAUGUAGGUAAGUGUGUGUGUGUGUGUACGUGUGUGUGUGUGUGUGUGUGUGUGUGACCAAGCAGGGGUUAUUCCAGGAAUGUAAGGAUGAUCUACUUAAAAAAUCUAUAAAUGAUAUUUACAACAUUGACAUAUUAAAGGGAAAAAAACCACGAUCGUCCCAAUAGGUACAGAGAACACAUUGGAUAAAGUUUAACCCUAAUUCAUCAUUUUAAAAAAAUCUAGCUAACUAGGAAUUGAAAAUAACAUCCAAUAUCAAGAUAAGAAUAUUAGUUUUUACUGUUUCUAUUCAACUCGUGUUAGGGAGUCUAAACUGGUACAAUAAGAAAGAGAAGAAAUAAAGCCAUCACUAUACAUAAAUGAUUGAUUGAUUAUUGACAAAGACAAUUUAUGAGAACCCACAAACAGAACCAGUACAGCCCUUUCUGGGGACAAGAUGAAUAUGCAAACACCAAUUUGCCUGUAUCAUAGCAACAAACAAAUGGAAGAUUUUGUUUUAAGAAAGUACCAUUUGUAAUAGCAACAAAAGCUGUAUGAUACUUAGGAAUAAGUAUAACAUAACAAAAUAUGUGCAUAUUUAUGGAGAAAAUUAUAAAAAUUUAUUGGAGAAUGUUUUGAAAAGACACAAAAGAAUGCUCAUGAAGAGGAAAGCUCAAUAUGAAGAUGGUAAUUUUUCUCAAAUCUAUAAAUUCAGUACAAUUCUAAUCAAAACCCCAGCCAGAUGUUUUAUGGAACUUGAUAAGCUGUUCUUAAAAUUUUUAUGGAAGAGUAAAUGCCCAAGAAAAGCCGAAACAAAUUUGAAGUGGAGGAAUACCAGAGUACUUGCCUUACCACAUAUCACAGCUUCCCUCUAAAGCUCAAGUGGUAAAGGCAGUGUGGUCCUCCAAUAGUGUAGACCACUGGUACAGGAAAGAACUUGUUGGAAUCAGACCCGCAAAGAUAUGAGAACUUGGCAUAUGACAAAAGUGACAUAGGUCAGUGGAAAAGGAUGAGCUAUUUGUUAAAGUGUCAGGUUAACCAGCUAUCCAAAUGGGAAAAAAAAAUAGAUCCCUACAUUACAACAUACCCCCAAAUAAAUUUCAGAUAGCUUAAAUACGUGAAAAACAAAACUUAAAACUGCUUGAAGAAGAUAUAAGACAAUAUAUUGUGAUAUUAGAGCAGGGAAGGAUUUCUUAAACAAGAUUCAAAAAGCACAAAUAAAGGAAAGAUGCACACAUAUGACUACAUUAAAAAAAAUUUUUUUAACCUCUAUAAGCCAAGAGACAUCACAACAAAAUAAAAAGACAAGCCACGGACUUGGAGAAUAUUUACAACCUAUAUGACCAGCAAAGGAUUUGUAUCCAGGAUUUAUAAAGAACUCUUGCCAAUCAAUAAGAAAAAGACAAGGCAGGCGAAAAUGAGAAAAAGAUAUCAGCAGCAAAGCACCAAAGGGGAAACUCAAAUGGCCAAUAAACAUAUGAAAAGAUGCUCAACUUCACUAGUAAUGAAGAGACGCAAAUCGAAACCAUGAGAUACGACUUUACACAUGCUAAAUCAGCAAAAUUAAAAUAACUCUGGUAACACCAAGUGUUGACAAAAAUGUGGGACAACAGGAAC